UACUUUAAAGAUCUCUUGAUCACAUUGGCACAUGCCUCAUUGGAUUCAUAUCAUCGUCAAAAUCAUCAUCAUCCCAUACGCUACUUCAAAAUCAAUACAUUCAUUCAAGGUGUACAAUUCUAUUUCAAGAUUUUUAAGCAAUUACAAGAUCAUAUAACUAUGUUUCAAGAGUACUCUGAAGCGGCUUCCUCCCAAGUUACAUCAUUACCACUACAACAUAAAGGCAUUACAUCAGAGCAAAGAGAUUACAUAAAAAAAGAACCUAUCCUAAACCUAGUCUUAAAUAUCUUUUGCCUUUAUGCUUCCGUCUUCAAGAUUCAAUCAUGCUUCAUACUUUCACAACCAUGA